CACCGGCAGCUCAAGUGGUGGCCGUUUUUAUUGGGCCUAAAGCGUUCGUAGCCGGCCUGAUAAGUCUCUGGUGAAAUCCCAUAGCUUAACUGUGGGAAUUGCUGGAGAUACUAUCAGGCUUGAGGUCGGGAGAGGUUAGGGGUACUCCCAGGGUAGGGGUGAAAUCCUAUAAUCCUGGGAGGACCACCUGUGGCGAAGGCGCCUAACUGGAACGAACCUGACGGUGAGUAACGAAAGCCAGGGGCGCGAACCGG
rnacentral:rRNA from 1 species